rnacentral:rRNA from 1 species
GACGAACGCUGGCGGCGUGCCUAAUACAUGCAAGUCGAACGCUGAAGGAGGAGCUUGCUUCUCUGGAUGAGUUGCGAACGGGUGAGUAACGCGUAGGUAACCUGCCUGGUAGCGGGGGAUAACUCUUGGAAACGAUAGCUAAUACCGCAUAAUAGCAGUUGUUGCAUGAUAACUGUUUGAAAGGUGCAAUUGCACCACUACCAGAUGGACCUGCGUUGUAUUAGCUAGUUGGUGGGGUAACGGCUCACCAAGGCGACGAUACAUAGCCGACCUGAGAGGGGGGUCGGCCACACUGGGACUGAGACACGGCCCAGACUCCUACGGGAGGCAGCAGUAGGGAAUCUUCGGCAAUGGACGGAAGUCUGACCGGGCAACGCCGCGGGAGUGAAGAAGGGUUUCGGAUCGUAAAGAUCUGUUGUAAGGGAAGGAAGAGUGUGAGAGUGGAAAGUGCACACUGUGACGGUAUCUAACCAGAAAGGGACGGCUAACUACGUG